GCCUGGGUGGCUCAGUUGGUUGAGUAUCCGACUUCGGCUCAGGUCAUGAUCUCGCCAUUUGUGAGUUUGAGCCCACUUCAGGCU
rnacentral:tRNA from 1 species